UACAGGAGGUGCGAGCGUUUGUUCGGAAUUAUUGGGCGUAAAGCGCUUGUAGGCGGCACGUCAAGUCGCGUGUGAAAUCCCCAGGCUUAACCUGGGAAGUGCGCGCGAAACUGACGAGCUUGAGUGCCGGAGAGGGUCGCGGAAUUCCCGGUGUAGAGGUGAAAUUCGUAGAUAUCGGGGAGGAACACCAGUGGCGAAGGCGGCGACCUGGACGGACACUGACGCUGGAGACGCGAAAGCGUGGGGAGCAAACAGG
rnacentral:rRNA from 1 species